rnacentral:rRNA from 1 species
GGCGAACGGGUGAGGUAACACGUGAGCAACCUGCCCCUAGCUCUGGGAUAGCUCCGGGAAACGGGAUUAAUACCAGACUACGACCACUUUAGACAUCUGUUGUGGUGGAAAGGAUUCCGGNCUAGGGAUGGGCUCGCGGCUAUCAGCUUGUUGGUGGGGUAACGGCCUACCAAGGCGACGACGGGUAGCCGGCCUGAGAGGGCGACCGGCCACACUGGGACUGAGACACGGUCCAGACUCCAUACGGGAGGCAGCAGUGGGGAAUAUUGCGCAAUGGGCGAAAGCCUGACGCAGCGACGCCGCGUGGGGGAUGAAGGCCUUCGGGUUGUAAACCCCUUUCAGCAGGGACGAAGCGAAAGUGACGGUACCUGCAGAAGAAGCGCCGGCUAACUACGUGCCAGCCGCCGCGG